rnacentral:rRNA from 1 species
AUUGAACGCUGGCGGCAGGCCUAACACAUGCAAGUCGAGCGGAUGAAGGGAGCUUGCUCCUGGAUUCAGCGGCGGACGGGUGAGUAAUGCCUAGGAAUCUGCCUGGUAGUGGGGGAUAACGUCCGGAGACGGGCGCUAAUACCGCAUACGUCCUGAGGGAGAAAGUGGGGGAUCUUCGGACCUCACGCUAUCAGAUGAGCCUAGGUCGGAUUAGCUAGUUGGUGGGGUAAAGGCCUACCAAGGCGACGAUCCGUAACUGGUCUGAGAGGAUGAUCAGUCACACUGGAACUGAGACACGGUCCAGACUCCUACGGGAGGCAGCAGUGGGGAAUAUUGGACAAUGGGCGAAAGCCUGAUCCAGCCAUGCCGCGUGUGUGAAGAAGGUCUUCGGAUUGUAAAGCACUUUGAGUUGGGAGGAAGGGCAGUAAGUUAAUACCUUGCUGUUUUGACGUUACCAACAGAAUAAGCACCGGCUAACUUCGUG